rnacentral:rRNA from 1 species
GAUGAACGCUGGCGGCGUGCCUAAUACAUGCGAGUCGAGCGAACGGACGAGAAGCUUGCUUCUCUGAUGUUAGCGGCGGACGGGUGAGUAACACGUGGAUAACCUACCUAUAAGACUGGGAUAACUUCGGGAAACCGGAGCUAAUACCGGAUGAUAUUUUGAACCGCAUGGUUCAAAAGUGAAAGACGGUCUUGCUGUCACCUAUAGAUGGAUCCGCGCUGCAUUAGCUAGUUGGUAAGGUAACGGCUUACCAAGGCAACGAUGCAUAGCCGACCUGAGAGGGUGAUCGGCCACACUGGAACUGAGACACGGUCCAGACUCCUACGGGAGGCAGCAGUAGGGAAUCUUCCGCAAUGGGCGAAAGCCUGACGGAGCAACGCCGCGUGAGUGAUGAAGGUCUUCGGAUCGUAAAACUCUGUUAUUAGGGAAGAACAUAUGUGUAAGUAACUGUGCACAUCUUGACGGUACCUAAUCAGAAAGCCACGGCUAACUACGUG